rnacentral:rRNA from 1 species
CUACGGGGGGCAGCAGUGGGGAAUAUUGGGCAAUGGGCGCAAGCCUGACCCAGCAACGCCGCGUGAGGGAAGAAGGUUCUCGGAUUGUAAACCUCUGUCCUUGGGGACGAAGAAAGUGACGGUACCCAAGGAGGAAGCUCCGGCUAACUACGUGCCAGCAGCCGCGGUAAUACGUAGGGAGCAAGCGUUGUCCGGAAUUACUGGGCGUAAAGGGUGCGUAGGCGGCAUAUUAAGUCAGGUGUGAAAUAUUCGGGCUCAACCCGAAGGGUGCAUUUGAAACUGGUAUGCUUGAGUGUGAGAGAGGAAAGUGGAAUUCCUAGUGUAGCGGUGAAAUGCGUAGAUAUUAGGAGGAACACCAGUGGCGAAGGCGACUUUCUGGCUCAUAACUGACGCUGAGGCACGAAAGCGUGGGUAGCAAACAGGAUUAGAUACCCUUGUAGUC